GACUCCAAGUCUCCAACAUCACAUGCCCUCCCUCCCUUAGCCCUCAUUACACUCAUUAGGAAAGGCCAGAGACCCCAGCACUUAUUCAAAGGCGGGAGAACCAGACGUCUGAAAUGACAGUCAUGCUUUCUCCAUCACAGAACGCUGUCCAGCCAUACGUUAUGCACCUCUCACCAUAUGCUGCAGACACCCCCCUACCAGUAUACAAGUGUGCCAGCUGCUGCACGUACUCAUUUGUCCCCAAGGCUUCCGAAGCUCAGCCCUUCCCAUCCACCAGACUCCGUAAUCGACGUCAGUCCCAGGUGCCCUUACCUGUUGUAUCUGAAAUACCGUUCUCACCCUUAUAGAACCUGUGCACUAAAAGAGCCAGCUGCCCGCUCCUACCCCAGUCUCUCCAGCCAAUGAAAACAGUCGUAGCCAACGGACAAGAUGUCAAGGCUGUUCGGUGCACUUUGGCACAUUUCUCAUCAAGCAUCUAGGAAAGAUUCCUAUUAUACAAGAACACACAGAGUCACGCCUGGAAACCUGAAUGCUAUCCACAGUGAAAGGAUAAAAUGACCAUAGAGAAAAUAAUCAAGAGGCUGGAGAGAUGGCUCAGUGGCUAAGAACAUUUGUGGCUUUUACAGAGGACCCAGAUUCAAAUGCCAGCAUCCACUUGGACACUCACCACUGUCUGUAACUCCAGCUCCGGGAGAUCCAACACCCUCUUUUGACUUCCUUGGGCAGCAGACAUGUACAUGUAGGCGAGAAAGAUUGCUUGAAGACUCCAAGUCUCCAACAUCACAUGCCCUCCCUCCCUUAGCCCUCAUUACACUCAUUAGGAAAGGCCAGAGACCCCAGCACUUAUUCAAAGGCGGGAGAACCAGACGUCUGAAAUGACAGUCAUGCUUUCUCCAUCACAGAACGCUGUCCAGCCAUACGUUAUGCACCUCUCACCAUAUGCUGCAGACACCCCCCUACCAGUAUACAAGUGUGCCAGCUGCUGCACGUACUCAUUUGUCCCCAAGGCUUCCGAAGCUCAGCCCUUCCCAUCCACCAGACUCCGUAAUCGACGUCAGUCCCAGGUGCCCUUACCUGUUGUAUCUGAAAUACCGUUCUCACCCUUAUAGAACCUGUGCACUAAAAGAGCCAGCUGCCCGCUCCUACCCCAGUCUCUCCAGCCAAUGAAAACAGUCGUAGCCAACGGACAAGAUGUCAAGGCUGUUCGGUGCACUUUGGCACAUUUCUCAUCAAGCAUCUAGGAAAGAUUCCUAUUAUACAAGAACACACAGAGUCACGCCUGGAAACCUGAAUGCUAUCCACAGUGAAAGGAUAAAAUGACCAUAGAGAAAAUAAUCAAGAGGCUGGAGAGAUGGCUCAGUGGCUAAGAACAUUUGUGGCUUUUACAGAGGACCCAGAUUCAAAUGCCAGCAUCCACUUGGACACUCACCACUGUCUGUAACUCCAGCUCCGGGAGAUCCAACACCCUCUUUUGACUUCCUUGGGCAGCAGACAUGUACAUGUAGGCGAGAAAGAUUGCUUGAA
rnacentral:lncRNA from 1 species